rnacentral:lncRNA from 12 species
UUGUGAACUUUAUUACUCAGGGUGACAAGUUAAUAUGUGGGUGAUGGUGUGCUGCUCCUAAAUGAGAUUUGUUGCAUCCUCAGAACUGUGUAAAAUGUCUAAAGAGAGAGGGAAGUUUCCAUGCCAUAGACAGUAGCAUGGGCUCUCCUGAGGAAGUGAGAUUGGAAACUUGUAAGUUUGCAAUCGUUCGCAGGCGAUAAAGUGUGUGAAGUGGAGAGCAGCAAGAGACUGUGCUUGCAUGAAGAAUUUUAAUGACUGAAACUUUCUUUUCUUAUUAAUUUCAACAUAGAAAGGGCAGUGAGAUAAGGAAGUCAUCAAUCUUGCAGACAUCUUUUUCCCCUACAAAAGGCAAUGGUUGAUUUGGUACAAACAUCAUAGAGCAGGAAGCCAGAAAAUAGAAUCAAAUCAAACAUGAUUUUAUAGUUGUUAUCGUUCCUAAGAAUAUCUAUGCUCCCAUAGGCAUAUGUCUAAGAUAGGAGAAUUAUAUUGGAAUUCUUGGUCUGCGCACUGAGGGGCUGUUGGUCAUCCGGAACGGAUUUGCCUAUUGGAUAUGACAGGGCUGCUCUACGAGGCCUCGCUGUGCCUGCUUUUGGACCUACUCAUGAUUCGAGGUGAUGUUUCCACUUUGCACGUAAGACAGUCUAGGGCUAAGACUGAAAUACCAGAUGGGAAGAGGAUCAUAAAUUUCUGUUAUAUCUGUAUCUAGAUCUGCAGGAGGACCUAUGAGUAAGUAGAAGCAUGGUUAUGAAUGGGUUCUGGAGCCUGCUUGCUAACAUAGGCUUGUUGCUGUGGACAUUAUAAGGGUUCACUUUUAAUCGCUGUCAGCUAGCAUGAUAUCACAAAUGCCAUAAGAAAAUAAAUAUAUAGUCUUAUGAGGAUGGCUACA